CAAGCGUUGUUCGGAAUUACUGGGCGUAAAGGGCUCGUAGGCGGCCAACUAAGUCGGAUGUGAAAUCCCCAGGCUUAACCUGGGAACUGCAUCCGAUACUGGAUGGCUUGAAUCCGGGAGAGGGAUGCAGAAUUCCAGGUGUAGCGGUGAAAUGCGUAGAUAUCUGGAGGAACACCGGUGGCGAAGGCGGCAUCCUGGACCGGUAUUGACGCUGAGGCGCGAAAAGCGUGGGUAGCAAACAGG
rnacentral:rRNA from 1 species